AUACAGAGGAUCCUGCAGGACCCAGUGUACGGUAAAGGGAAGCUGUCAGAGAUCCAGGGUCUGAUCCUGGGUAUGCUGGACACCUUCAACUAUGAGCAGACCCUCCUUGAGACCACCACCAGCCUGCUGAACCACGACCUCCACUGGUCCCUUGCCCACCUGCGGGCCAGCGUGACGCGGGGGCUGGUGCCGCGGCAGGACACCUGCAACAUCUGCCUGCUGCAGUACAGGCGGCGCCACGACCCCCCCGAGGAGAUCGUCAU